rnacentral:tRNA from 1 species
GCGGGCAUAGUUCAGAGGUAGAACACCUGCCUUCCAAGCAGGACACACGGGUUCGAUUCCCGUUGCCCGCU